UACGAAGGACCCGAGCGUUAUCCGGAUUUAUUGGGUUUAAAGGGUGCGUAGGCGUCUUGGAAAGUUACGGUUGAAAUCUCCUUGCUUAACAAGGAAACUGGCCGUAAAACUAUCAGGAUUGAGUACAUUUGAAGCGGGCGGAAUGUGUCAUGUAGCGGUGAAAUGCUUAGAUAUGACACAGAACACCAAUUGCGAAGGCAGCUCGCUAAACUGUAACUGACGCUGAGGCACGAAAGCGUGGGGAUCAAACAGG
rnacentral:rRNA from 1 species